CCUGUUUCCUUGACUUAACAUACUUCCAGAAAGGUUUUGUGUUGUUCUUAUUCAUUCCUUCAAUUAUAGCGUUGUUAAUAUAAUUGUUUUCUGCUUUCCUAAUUUCUCUUUUGCAUGUUUUUUGGAAAUGGCGGUAGUUUGUCCAUGAUUUUGUUCUUUUGGCCUGGUUAUACAAGUUUUGUUUUUUCUUCAGCAUCUUUUUGAUCUUUUGUGUUAUCCAUGGUAGUCUGUUGUUGGACUUGACUAUUUUUGAUGGUAUGUUUUUUAUCAAGGCUGGCAAAUAGGUGUUUCUUGAACAUCAGCCAUGCUUCGUUGACAUUUUGGUUGUUUUGGAUACUGUUACUUAUCUGUGAUAAUAGUGAAUCUAGAUCUUUGUUCACUUCAUCCCAG
rnacentral:lncRNA from 1 species